rnacentral:rRNA from 1 species
GACGGAAGGUGCAAGCGUUGCUCGGAAUCACUGGGCGUAAAGGGUGCGUAGGCGGCCGCGCAAGUCUGGCGUGAAAGCCCCGGGCUCAGCCCGGGAAGGGCGCUCGAAACGGCGCGGCUCGAGUGCCGGAGGGGAGAGUGGAAUUCCUGGUGUAGCGGUGAAAUGCGUAGAGAUCAGGAAGAACACCAGUGGCGAAGGCGCUCUGCUAGGCCGUAACUGACACUGAGGGACGAAAGCUAGGGGAGCGAAUGGG